CAGUAGCUCAAUUGGAUAGAGCAUCCCCCUCCUAAGGGGAAGGUUGCAGGUUCUUAUCUGUGGUACGUAUUGGGUGCGCAACCCUGCACUGCUUU
rnacentral:tRNA from 1 species